ACCGUCUCCGCGGCGGUGGACGUGAGCGUGACAGUGACCAGCCUCAACUUCAGCAAGGAGGUGGCGAACUUCUCCACCGAGGCCUUCAAGAGGUUCAACCACACCUUCAGCCGGCAGAUGGCGCAGGUGUACCAGGGCGUCCCGGGGUACCGAGGUGUGCGCAUCAGGAAGCUCACGAGGGGCAGCAUCGUGGUGGACUAUGACGUCAUCCUGAGCGUGCCCUACGCGCCGGGACUCCAGCUGGAGGAGCUGAGGGGCAGCGUGAUGGCGGCCAGCGAGACCGGGACCAGGCACGACCCCACCGUCAACUGCUCGGGUACAGCCACGGGGCGCGGGGCGCGGGCACAGCACAGCACAGCACACAGCACACAGCACAGCACAGCACACAGCACAGCACAGCACAGCACACAGCACACAGCACAGCACAGCACACAGCACAGCACAGCACACAGCACAGCACACAGCACAGCACAGCACAGCACAGCACAGCACACAGCACAGCACAGCACAGCACAGCACACAGCACAGCACACAGCACAGCACACAGCACACAGCACACAGCACAGCACAGCACACAGCACAGCACAGCACACAGCACAGCACAGCACAC
rnacentral:lncRNA from 1 species